CGGACGGGUGAGUAAUGUCUGGGAAACUGCCCGAUGGAGGGGGAUAACUACUGGAAACGGUGGCUAAUACCGCAUAACGUCGCAAGACCAAAGAGGGGGACCUUAGGGCCUCUUGCCAUCGGAUGUGCCCAGAUGGGAUUAGCUAGUAGGUGGGGUAAUGGCCCACCUAGGCGACGAUCCCUAGCUGGUCUGAGAGGAUGACCAGCCACACUGGAACUGAGACACGGUCCAG
rnacentral:rRNA from 1 species